GCUUAUCUUGGCCACCUUUUGCUUGGGCGGGGGAUAAAAAGCGUAGGAAUGGGACUUUGCUUCGGUGAGGUGUUAUACCCUGCGUUGAUGCUGCCUGCCUAGACCGAGGACUGCGAUUUUAUCAAGGAUGCUGGCAUAAUGAUCCCAAACCGCCCGUCUUGAAACACGGACCAUGGAGUCACCGUC
rnacentral:rRNA from 1 species